rnacentral:rRNA from 1 species
AUUGAACGCUGGCGGCAGGCCUAACACAUGCAAGUCGAACGAGUGGCGGACGGGUGAGUAAUGACUGGGAAACUGCCUGAUGGAGGGGGAUAACUACUGGAAACGGUAGCUAAUACCGCAUACCAUCGGAUGGGCCCAGAUGGGAUUAGCUAGUAGGGGGGGUAAAGGCUCACCAAGGCCACGAUCCGUAGCUGGUUGGAGAGGACGACCAGCCACACUGGAACUGAGACACGGCCCAGACGCCUACGGGAGGCAGCAGUGGGGAAUUUUGGACAAUGGGGGAAACCCUGAUCCAGCCAGGCCGCGUGUAUGAUGAAGGCCUUCGGGUUGCAAAGUCCGUUUGGCAGAGAAGCGGUAUCUGCAGAAUAAGCACCGGCUAACUACGUGCCAGCAGCCGCGGUAAUAC